UACGUAGGGUGCAAGCGUUAUCCGGAAUUAUUGGGCGUAAAGAGCUCGUAGGCGGUUUGUCACGUCUGCUGUGAAAACUGGAGGCUCAACCUCCAGCCUGCAGUGGGUACGGGCAGACUAGAGUGCGGUAGGAGAUUGGAAUUCCUGGUGUAGCGGUGGAAUGCGCAGAUAUCAGGAGGAACACCGGAUGGCGAAGGCAGAUCUCUGGCCGGUAACUGACGCUGAGGAGCGAAAGCAUGGAGCGAACAGG
rnacentral:rRNA from 1 species